rnacentral:rRNA from 1 species
GUAGGUGGCAAGCGUUGUCCGGAAUUAUUGGGCGUAAAGCGCGCGCAGGCGGUUCUUUAAGUCUGAUGUGAAAGCCCACGGCUCAACCGUGGAGGGUCAUUGGAAACUGGAGAACUUGAGUACAGAGGAGGAAAGCGGAAUUCCACGUGUAGCGGUGAAAUGCGUAGGGAUGUGGAGGAACACCAGUGGCGAAGGCGGCUUUCUGGUCUGUAACUGACGCUGAGGCGCGAAAGCGUGGGGAGCAAACAGGGAUUAGAUACCCUGGUAGUCCACGCCGUAAACGACGAGUGCUAAGUGUUAGGGGGUUUCCCGCCCCCCUUAGUGCUGCAGCUAACGCAUUAAGCACUCCGCCUGGGGAGUACGGCCGCAAGGCUG